AAAACGUCAAAGCUCAAAAUUCCAUAAUCUUGGCAAAUUUCCUGAACUCUCCUCAUACAGUUCAUCAUUUCGAUUCGUGGACUUCAACACCUAGUCUAGUCGAGAAGACCUACUAUAACAAAGAUUUUCUUGCUGCUACUCGAAGAAGUUAACCUUCAAGGUCGCGUAUUUCAUCUCAUUUCUAUAAUAACUCCGACCGUGGGAUCCACUCUGUUAGGGAGAUAAAGUGAACCCAUUCGUAAAUGCGGAUAUGCUGAAUUGGAACUCGAGGCUGUUAUCCUUCGAAGAUACGGUCUUCCUACAGCUGCACUGAGUAACAAAGAGGUUAUGGGUGUAC